UACAGAGGUCUCAAGCGUUGUUCGGAUUCAUUGGGCGUAAAGGGUGCGUAGGUGGCGCCGUAAGUCAGGUGUGAAAUUUCGGAGCUUAACUCCGAAACUGCAUUUGAUACUGCGGUGCUUGAGGACUGGAGAGGAGACUGGAAUUUACGGUGUAGCAGUGAAAUGCGUAGAGAUCGUAAGGAAGACCAGUGGCGAAGGCGGCUCACUGGCCCGGUACUGACGCUGAGGUGCGAAAGCGUGGGGAGCAAACAGG
rnacentral:rRNA from 1 species